UGUUUUGUAGUGUAAGAUGCACAUGAAAUUUUGACUUUCAUAGAUUAAGUUUGAUUCUUAACAAUUCAA
rnacentral:tRNA from 1 species